AAGCAGCCAUCCUUGAAAGAGUGCGUAAUAGCUCACUGGUCGAGUGGUUCUGCGCCGACAAUGUAGUGGGGCUCAAGUACACCGCCGAAGCCGCGGCAAUCAUCUUUUUGGUGGUUGGGUAGGGGAGCGUCGCGUGACUGCUGUGAAGCGCUGGGGUAACCCUAGUGUGGAGUGUGCGCGAGUGAGAAUGCAGGCAUGAGUAGCGAAUGAGGAGUGGAAAACUCCUCCGCCGAAUGACUAAGGGUUCCUGGGCCAGGUUAAUCCUCCCAGGGUGAGUCGGGACCUAAGGCGAGGCCGACAGGCGUAGUCGAUGGAUAACGGGUUGAUAUUCCCGUACCCGUGUGUCCGCGCCCAUGGUGAAUCAGGGAUACUAACCCACCUGAACACGCGCCUUGUGCCGGCCUUUUAGGUUGGUUGGUGUGUGUGAUGCUGGGGACCUGAACUGGUAGUAGCCAAGUGAUGGGGUGACGCAGGAAGGUAGCCGUGCCACGUGAUGGAUAUCGUGGUGUAAGCGUGUGGCCCGUGUUCUAGGUAAAUCCGGAGCACAUGUGGGUGAGGCGUGAUGCGUACCCGUUUUGGGGAAGUUGGUGAUCCUAUGCUGCCGAGAAAAGCCUCUAGCGAUGUGGAUAUACGGCCCGUACCCGAAACCGACACAGGUAGUCAGGUAGAGAAUACUAAGGCGAUCGGGAGAACUGUGGUUAAGGAACUCGGCAAAAUGCCCCCGUAACUUCGGGAGAAGGGGGGCCAUGACUGGUGACCGACGUGGUUGAGCUGGUUGUGGCCGCAGAGAAUAGAGGGAAGCGACUGUUUACUAAAAACACAGGUCCGUGCGAAGACGGGUAAGUCGAUGUAUACGGACUGACGCCUGCCCGGUGCUGGAAGGUUAAGAGGACCUGUUAGACCCCUUUUGCGGGUCGAAGCGGAGAAUUUAAGCCCCAGUAAACGGCGGUGGUAACUAUAACCAUCCUAAGGUAGCGAAAUUCCUUGUCGGGUAAGUUCCGACCUGCACGAAUGGCGUAAC
rnacentral:rRNA from 1 species